GCAACAGAGCAAGAAUCUGUCUCUAAAAAAUAAAAAUAAUAAAAAUAAUUGUAAUAAUAAUGACCUUCCGUUCCAUCCACGUUAUUAUAAAUAACAGGGUUUUUGGCCGGGCGCGGUGGCUCAAGCCUGUAAUCCCAGCAC